CUUGCUUCUUCUGAUUUAGCGGCGGACGGGUGAGUAACACGUGGGCAACCUACCUAGUAGAUUGGGAUAACUCCGGGAAACCGGGGCUAAUACCGAAUAAUCCAUUUUGUCACAUGGCAAAAUGCUGAAAGGCGGUUUCGGCUGUCACUACUAGAUGGGCCCGCGGUGCAUUAGCUAGUUGGUGGGGUAACGGCCUACCAAGGCAACGAUGCAUAGCCGACCUGAGAGGGUGAUCGGCCACAUUGGGACUGAGACACGGCCCAAACUCCUACGGGAGGCAGCAGUAGGGAAUCUUCCACAAUGGACGAAAGUCUGAUGGAGCAACGCCGCGUGAGUGAUGAAGGUUUUCGGAUCGUAAAACUCUGUUGUAAGGGAAGAACAAGUACGUUAGUAACUGAACGUACCUUGACGGUACCUUAUUAGAAAGCCACGGCUAACUACGUGCCAGCAGCCGCGGUAAUACGUAGGUGGCAAGCGUUGUCCGGAUUUAUUGGGCGUAAAGCGCGCGCAGGUGGUUUCUUAAGUCUGAUGUGAAAGCCCACGGCUCAACCGUGGAGGGUCAUUGGAAACUGGGAGACUUGAGUGCAGAAGAGGAAAGUGGAAUUCCAAGUGUAGCGGUGAAAUGCGUAGAGAUUUGGAGGA
rnacentral:rRNA from 1 species